rnacentral:rRNA from 1 species
ACGUAGGUGGCAAGCGUUGUCCGGAAUUAUUGGGCGUAAAGAGCAUGUAGGCGGGCUUUUAAGUCCGACGUGAAAAUGCGGGGCUUAACCCCGUAUGGCGUUGGAUACUGGAAGUCUUGAGUGCAGGAGAGGAAAGGGGAAUUCCCAGUGUAGCGGUGAAAUGCGUAGAUAUUGGGAGGAACACCAGUGGCGAAGGCGCCUUUCUGGACUGUGUCUGACGCUGAGAUGCGAAAGCCAGGGUAGCAAACGG